rnacentral:rRNA from 1 species
AGUGAACGCUGGCGGUAGGCCUAACACAUGCAAGUCGAACGGCAGCACAGUAAGAGCUUGCUCUUACGGGUGGCGAGUGGCGGACGGGUGAGUAAUACAUCGGAAUCUACUUUUUCGUGGGGGAUAACGUAGGGAAACUUACGCUAAUACCGCAUACGACCUACGGGUGAAAGCAGGGGAUCUUCGGACCUUGCGCGAUUGAAUGAGCCGAUGUCGGAUUAGCUAGUUGGCGGGGUAAAGGCCCACCAAGGCGACGAUCCGUAGCUGGUCUGAGAGGAUGAGAAGCAACACUGGAAAGGAAAGACGAUCCAGAAUACUAGGAGAGGGAGCAGUGGGGAAUAUUGGACAAUGGGAGCAAGCCUGAACAAGGCAUACCGCGUGGGUGAAGAAGGCAUUAGGGUUGUAAAAGCGUUUUGUGGGGAAAGAAAAGAAGCAGGUUAAUACCCGGAUGAUAUGACGGGAACCAAAGAAUAAGCACCGGCUAACUUCGUG